rnacentral:rRNA from 1 species
GACACUGAGGUGCGAAAGCGUGGGUAGCAAACAGGAUUAGAUACCCUGGUAGUCCACGCCGUAAACGAUGUCGACCAGCCGUUGGGUGCCUAGCGCACUUUGUGGCGAAGUUAACGCGAUAAGUCGACCGCCUGGGGAGUACGGCCGCAAGGUUAAAACUCAAAUGAAUUGACGGGGGCCCGCACAAGCGGUGGAGCAUGUGGUUUAAUUCGAUGCAACGCGAAGAACCUUACCUACUCUUGACAUCCUGCGAAUUUGGUAGAGAUACCUUAGUGCCUUCGGGAACGCAGAGACAGGUGCUGCAUGGCUGUCGUCAGCUCGUGUUGUGAAAUGUUGGGUUAAGUCCCGUAACGAGCGCAACCCUUGUCCUUAUUUGCCAGCGCGUAAUGGCGGGAACUCUAAGGAGACUGCCGGUGACAAACCGGAGGAAGGUGGGGACGACGUCAAGUCAUCAUGGCCCUUACGAGUAGGGCUACACACGUGCUACAAUGGUCGGUACAAAGGGUUGCCAACUCGCGAGAGUGAGCCAAUCCCGAAAAGCCGAUCUCAGUCCGGAUCGGAGUCUGCAACUCGACUCCGUGAAGUCGGAAUCGCUAGUAAUCGUAGAUCAGAAUGCUACGGUGAAUACGUUCCCGGGCCUUGUACACACCGCCCGUCACACCAUGGGAGUGGACUGCACCAGAAGUGGUUAGCC